GGACUACCGGGGUAUCUAAUCCUGUUUGCUCCCCACGCUUUCGCGUCUCAGCGUCAGCAACGAUCCAGAGGGCCGCCUUCGCCGCCGGUGUUCCUCCUGAUAUCUACGCAUUUCACCGCUACACCAGGAAUUCCACCCUCCUCUAUCGCGCUCCAGCCGACUAGUUUCCGACGCACUUCCGAGGCUGAGCCUCGGGCUUUCACAUCAGACUUGGCCGACCGCCUACACGCCCUUUACGCCCAGUCAAUCCGAACAACGCUUGCACCCUCCGUCUUACCGCGGCUGCUGGCAC
rnacentral:rRNA from 1 species